GAUGAACGCUAGCGGCAGGCUUAACACAUGCAAGUCGAGGGGUAUAGGUUUUCGGACCUAGAGACCGGCGCACGGGUGCGUAACGCGUAUGCAAUCUACCUUUCACAGAGGGAUAGCCCAGAGAAAUUUGGACUAAUACUACAUAAUAUUCUAGAAGGGCAUCAUUUUAAAAUUAAAGUCACAACGGUGAAAGAUGGGCAUGCGUACCAUUAGCAAGUUGGUAUGGUAACGGCAUACCAAGGCUACGAUGGGUAGGGGUCCUGAGAGGGAGAUCCCCCACACUGGUACUGAGACACGAACCAGACUCCUACGGGAGGCAGCAGUGAGGAAUAUUGGUCAAUGGGCGCAAGCCUGAACCAGCCAUGCCGCGUGCAGUAUGACGGUCCUAUGGAUUGUAAACUGCUUUUGUACGGGAAGAAACACUCCUACGUGUAGGAACUUGACGGUACCGUAAGAAUAAGGAUCGGCUAACUCCGUGCCAGCCGCCGCCGUAA
rnacentral:rRNA from 1 species